UCAGUUGCCAGCAAGCUUCAGUAACCACUGCUUUAAGAGGGGAGGAAAAAUGGCCGCUGAAGCAGCUCGCAAAAACUGAUGACGUCACGUGAAAACCACCCAUUAAGCCUCGUUUUUGAAAGUCGGAAAAAAGUCGCUGGUGAAUAAGGUCCGUUUCCUGCAGUAAAAGCUAUCGCUGAAAAGAACCAUGACUUGACAUGAAUACAACUUUUGAUACAACUGGAGACCACAGCCAAAUCCAGAAUUUCAAGCAUAUACUAACAAAGCAUUGCCUUGGCAGCAUCAGUGAGCUGACCUUUUGGUGGGAAACAAUAUAAAUAAACGUAGCUGAGGUCUUGACCUCAUUCCAAGACGCAGGUGAGCAUCUUGGUGUUUAAAGCAGGGGUGGGCAAUUAAUUUUCCCAAGGGGCCGCAUGAGAAAUUGGGAUGGUUUUAGAGGGCCGGACUAAUAUAGUUAACUCCGUUUUACCCAAUACUGUAUAUAUAUACUGGCGGGUGGGCCGUUCAGAGACAGGAGGUGGGCCAGAUCCAGUUUAAACCAGAUCUGGUUUAAAGGCUCAGAUUUGAGGAAUAAGUAUAUUUUUUUCAACAUGUUGGUUUGAAAAUAAUUUUCACUCGGAUCAGCCUUUAAGAUGUCAGAGAUUUUAUUUUGGAAGAGUUUCAGUGAGAUUGAAAGUGCUCGUGGUAAAAUUGUUGUCGAGGUGUGCGUGUGUGAAUGCAUGUAUAACAGACCUGGGCAAACGCCGGCCCGCCUCCUGUCUCUGACCGGCCCGCCCGCUGGCCGCCCACCAGUAAAUAUACUAUAUAUACAGUAUUAGAUAAAACUGAGUUAACUAUAUUAGUCCGGCCCUCUAGAACCAUUCCAGUUUCUCAUCCGGCCCCUUGGGAAAAUUAAUUGCCCACCCCUGAUGUAUAAUGUCUGUAUGUCUUCGUUCAUCCAUCGUUAUGCUUUACAAAGAACAAACAUACACUAAGGAAAAUAGCCUUUUUUUUUAAUGAGCAAAUAUGACCAUUUAAAAUAUCCAUUUAUCCUUUAUAUGUAUACAUUUGUACAGAAAAGUGGUGCUCUCUCUCCAUUUUGAACAGUUACCCACUACUCUAUUUCUAGUUGGGGGCCAGAGGCUGGACUCUCAUAUUUUGUAAUGACUAUUAAAGAAAAACUUAUAAUGCAACCGUUAUCAGAAAACUAGGUAUGAAGCAGGAUAAAGUGAUACAAUAAUUAUAGUCAGAGGUAUCUUAAUAUGUUAUGUAAAAUAUGCAACAUCCUAACUGGUCAAUGAAUUGCACUGUUGUAAGAGACACUUCCAUUUCUGGGCCAAGAGCCAUAUCAGCAGUCUUUGUCACACCUACUUCCCAAACAUUUUCUUUCUCUAUAGUGGUUAAAAGGCUCGCUGGAAGCAUCCAGAAUAGAGGAGCAGCAACGUAAAAAUCAACCAAAAACAUAAGAGUGGAUGGACCUACCUCCCUGCCUCAAGUCUACUGUGCCUCACAUGGGAUAGACUAGAUGUUGGCUUUCCUUCUGUAUGCUACACCUUGCACAGGAUUACAAUCGCAGAGCUGGAUAUUCAGAAUGUACAAAAUGGUUGAAAUUAAUGCUAUGGGUAUAUCACUUUCGAAUGAGUUAUAUAGAUUACUAAUUUCUCAGAACAGAGAUUUGCUCUAGAGCCUUCUUACUGCCCUAUAAUGCUAUUGUAUUUCAACAACCUGCCAGUCACUACAUGAGCAUGAGUGCUGGGGCAUCGUUUACCACAGUUUCCCCAUCCAAAAUGAGAAAAUAGCUGGGACACUCAUGAAAGUCUCAUAUUGUCAACAGAAAGAUCUGACUGUAUAAUACAAAAUGUCAAUCAAAACUCAGAUCCAAAGUUUGCAGGUAGUUUGCUUGUCUCGAUUACACUAACCUACUGUUUAAAAAAAAAAUUUGUCCAAAAGCUUAAGGCACUUGACCUUAUUUAUAAGCAUACUUAUACAGUGUACUUAAAGACAUACCCUGCCAGUUGAAAAGAUUUUGGCCACUUUUUGAAAGACACUAUUCAUUGUCAUCUUUCUAACAAUUUCUGCUAGUGACAGUCUUCAAUACUGUAUUUUUAGCCUUUGUGCUCCAUGGAUCAUUAAGAUGAAAACAUCAAUACUGCUCUUCAUUUUGUGUACUAUGAAUUAUAACUCUACCAAUACUGUGAGAACAGAGGAAAUGUUUGAUGGCAAAUGAGGUGGUAAAUGGGUAUUCAAUGUUUCUCUUGUCUGCUAAACUCAUAUAACCAACCACCUCAUAUCCACAAUGAAUGAUAGGCUGUAGCUAUAUUGUAGGCAACAAACAAGAUUUUAGAGACAUGUCCUGGAACUAAGAGAUAGUAUUUUUUUUUAGCUUUUUAUUUUAUCUCCCCUUCAAACAACCAUUCCAACUCUUUUUUUUUACAAAAAAAAAAA